rnacentral:rRNA from 1 species
UAGGGAAUCUUCGGCAAUGGGGGGAACCCUGACCGAGCAACGCCGCGUGAGUGAAGAAGGUUUUCGGAUCGUAAAGCUCUGUAGUUAAGGAAGAACGAGUGUGAGAAUGGAAAGUUCAUACUGUGACGGUACUUAACCAGAAAGGGACGGCUAACUACGUGCCAGCAGCCGCGGUAAUACGUAGGUCCCGAGCGUUGUCCGGAUUUAUUGGGCGUAAAGCGAGCGCAGGCGGUUAGAUAAGUCUGAAGUUAAAGGCAGUGGCUCAACCAUUGUAGGCUUUGGAAACUGUUUAACUUGAGUGCAGAAGGGGAGAGUGGAAUUCCAUGUGUAGCGGUGAAAUGCGUAGAUAUAUGGAGGAACACCGGUGGCGAAAGCGGCUCUCUGGUCUGUAACUGACGCUGAGGCUCGAAAGCGUGGGGAGCGAACAGG